rnacentral:rRNA from 1 species
GACGAACGCUGGCGGCGUGCUUAACACAUGCAAGUCGAACGGACAGGCCCUGCUUUUGUGGGUUGCUCGAUUGGCGAACGGGUGAGUAACACGUGAGUAACCUGCCCUUGACUUUGGGAUAACUUCAGGAAACUGGGGCUAAUACCGGAUAGGAUCUCCUGCUGCAUGGUGUGGGUUGGAAAGUUUCGGCGGUUGGGGAUGGACUCGCGGCUUAUCAGCUUGUUGGUGGGGUAGUGGCUUACCAAGGGUUUGACGGGUAGCCUGCCUGAGAGGGUGACCGGCCUCAAUGGGACUAAGGUACGGAGCAGUAGCCUACGGGACGCAGCGGGCGGAAAUAUGGCGGAGUGGGCGGAAGCCAGAUGCAGCAACGCCGCGUGCGGAAUAACGGCUUUCGGGUUAUAAACAGAUUUCGACGGUGACGAAGCGUGAGUGACGGUAAUGAGUAAAAAAGCAACGGCUAACUACGUG